rnacentral:rRNA from 1 species
UUGGAGGGCAAGUCUGGUGCCAGCAGCCGCGGUAAUUCCAGCUCCAAUAGCGUAUAUUAAAGUUGUUGCAGUUAAAAAGCUCGUAGUUGAAUUUCGGGAUCAAGGAAUCGGUCAUGCCUUGGUAUGUACUGGUUUUAUUGGUUCUCACCUUCUAAAGAACCAUAAUGUCAUUUAUUUGAUGUUAUGGGGAAUUAGGACUGUUACCUUGAAAAAAUUAGAGUGUUUAAAGCAAGCUUACGCUUGAAUACAUUAGCAUGGAAUAAUGAAAUAGGACAUCAGAUUCUAUUUUGUUGGUUUCUAGGAUCGAUGUAAUGAUUAAUAGGGAUAGUUGGGGGCAUUAGUAUUCAAUUGUCAGAGGUGAAAUUCUUGGAUUUAUUGAAGACUAACUACUGCGAAAGCAUUUGCCAAGGAUGUUUUCAUUAAUCAAGAACGAAAGUUAGGGGAUCGAAGACGAUCAGAUACCGUCGUAGUCUUAACCAUAAACUAUGCCGACUAGGGAUCGGACGAUGUUAAUUUUUUAAUGACUCGUUCGGCGCCUUACGGGAAAC